CUGCCGUUCUGUUUAACAGGGGGACCUCGAGCACCACAAACACUCCCAGUUACACUUUGAUUCAUCAUGUGGAUUACACAGCAGCUAACAGCAUCAGAGAACAUCAUCUAUGAAACACCCACCUGGAACCUUUUAGAUCUCUGUAACUACACCGACAGUUAGAUUAGACCUCUUUCAGUCUCUGACUUCUACAACAUGGACAUCAUCAAACAUGGUUUCCUAAGCUUGUUAACACUUCUGCUCUGGAUAAAAGGUCUAGUUGUUGGGAGUGAUGUCACCCAGACCUCCAUACUGUGGAAAAACAAGGAUGAAAGUGCAACAAUGUCCUGCAACCACACCAAGGGUGAUACCUACAGCCAGAUGUACUGGUACAGACAGCUGCCAGGAGAAGCAAUGAAACUCAUUGUGUUCACAGCAUUCGGCAGAGAAAAUCACGACUUUGGAAAUUUCAGCAAAGAGAGAUUCUCAGCUACUAAGCCUGACUUUGCUAGUGGGACGUUCACAGUGAAGAAUCUGCUGCCAGAAGAUAAAGGCUUGUAUUUCUGUGCUGUGAGUCAACACAGUGAUACAGAUGCACUUGACAGCUGAACAAAAACCUCAGCAAGCUGUUACCAACUGUAUUUAUCUGCUGUACUGUAGGAGGACCUCAAGUACAACACACAACAACUCACAAUACAGCCACACUCCCACCUGUAACUUACAACACAGAAAUAAACUCUGUUGUAACGUCACACCUUCCAUCACACAGACUGAGUGUCUC